GAAAAGCAGCAUCAUUGAAGGUGAAAAUCCUGUAAUGAUAUGGACUACCAGUGCAUUUGUGAUACGGUUUCUAAGAGUCGAGUUGUUUGGGAAUGCAGCUCAAAGUGGGUGGUAAAUUCCAUCUAAGGCUAAAUAUAAGUGAGAGACCGAUAGCAUACAAGUACCGUGAGGGAAAGAUGAAAAGAACUUUGAAAAUAGAGUUAACAGUACGUGAAAUUGCUGAAAGGGAAACGUUUGAAGUUAGUAUUGUAUUCGUUGGAUCAGCUUCGCAAGGAGUGUAUUCCGAUGAUAAGCAAGUCAACAUCAAUCGAUGAGUGUUGGAUAAGGGUUUCGAGAAUGUAGCAAUUUAAUUGUGUUAUAGCUUGGGACUUGGAUACAACGCUCUUGAUUGAGGAACGCGUAGUAAGCUUUGAGCGGGUUCGAAAGAAUCUCCUUACUAUGGAUGUUGGUGAAAUAACUUUAAGCGACCCGUCUUGAAACACGGACCAAGGAGUCUAACAUGCUUGCGAGUAUUAGGGUGUUGAAACCCGAAUGCGUAAUGAAAGUGAAUUUCAGAUGUGAUCCGCAAGGUGCAACAUCGGCCGGUCCUGAUUAUUUAUAUGACGGUACUGAGCAAGAGCAAGUAUGUUAGGACCCGAAAGAUGGUGAACUAUGCCUGGAUAGGGUGAAGUCAGAGGAAACUCUGAUGGAAGCUCGUAGCGGUUCUGACGUGCAAAUCGAUCGCAGAAUCUGGGUA
rnacentral:rRNA from 1 species